rnacentral:rRNA from 1 species
GAUGAACGCUGGCGGCGUGCCUAAUACAUGCAAGUCGAGCGAACGGACGAGAAGCUUGCUUCUCUGAUGUUAGCGGCGGACGGGUGAGUAACACGUGGAUAACCUACCUAUAAGACUGGGAUAACUUCGGGAAACCGGAGCUAAUACCGGAUAAUAUUUUGAACCGCAUGGUUCAAAAGUGAAAGACGGUCUUGCUGUUACUUAUAGAUGGAUCCGCGCUGCAUUAGCUAGUUGGUAAGGUAACGGCUUACCAAGGCAACGAUGAAUAGCCGACCUGAGAGGGUGAUCGGCCACACUGGAACUGAGACACGGUCCAGACUCCUACGGGAGGCAGCAGUAGGGAAUCUUCCGCAAUGGGCGAAAGCCUGACGGAGCAACGCCGCGUGAGUGAUGAAGGUCUUCGGAUCGUAAAACUCUGUUAUUAGGGAAGAACAUAUGUGUAAGUAACUGUGCACAUCUUGACGGUACCUAAUCAGAAAGCAACGGCUAACUACGUG